CCUACGGGAGGCAGCAGUAGGGAAUCUUCCGCAAUGGACGAAAGUCUGACGGAGCAACGCCGCGUGAGUGAAGAAGGUUUUCGGAUCGUAAAACUCUGUUGUUAAAGAAGAACAAGGAUGAGAGUAACUGCUCAUCCCCUGACGGUAUUUAACCAGAAAGCCACGGCUAACUACGUGCCAGCAGCCGCGGUAAUACGUAGGUGGCAAGCGUUGUCCGGAUUUAUUGGGCGUAAAGCGAGCGCAGGCGGUUCUUUAAGUCUGAUGUGAAAGCCCCCGGCUCAACCGGGGAGGGUCAUUGGAAACUGGAGAACUUGAGUGCAGAAGAGGAGAGUGGAAUUCCACGUGUAGCGGUGAAAUGCGUAGAUAUGUGGAGGAACACCAGUGGCGAAGGCGACUCUCUGGUCUGUAACUGACGCUGAGGCUCGAAAGCGUGGGGAGCAAACAGGAUUAGAUACCCUGGUAGUCCACGCCGUAAACGAUGAGUGCUAAGUGUUGGAGGGUUUCCGCCCUUCAGUGCUGCAGCUAACGCAUUAAGCACUCCGCCUGGGGAGUACGGCCGCAAGGCUGAAACUCAAAUGAAUUGACGG
rnacentral:rRNA from 1 species